GUCCCGAAAGAGCAACCCGUCGGCGACGGCGGUGCGCAAAGCACCGGACCUCCAAGCAGGAGGCAGCCGGGCUGCCGAA
rnacentral:ncRNA from 1 species